rnacentral:rRNA from 1 species
GAUCAUUAACGAAUUGUCAUCGGGGCUGAUGCUGCAUAUAUGUGUGCGUGCUCGCUCCUAACAAUCUUUAUCCAAACACCUGUGCACAUAUUUAGAGGGAGAGAGGGAACUCGCAGUUCCCUUCCCUUUAUUUUAUUAUUACACACUGGUUUUCAAUAUUGAACGUGAUUGUGCCAUAAGGCCUUAACAUUAAUACAACUUUUAACAACGGAUCUCUUGGCUCUCGCAUCGAUGAAGAACGCAGCGAAAUGCGAUAAGUAAUGUGAAUUGCAGAAUUCAGUGAAUCAUCGAAUCUUUGAACGCACCUUGCGCUCCCUGGUAUUCCGGGGAGCACGCCUGUUCGAGUGUCGUGAAAUCCUCAAGCCUAGGGCAUUAUAUUGUUCCCUUUGGCUUGGUUGUUGGGCUCUGCCGUUCCUUCAAUCGUAGGGAUGGCUGGCCUUAAAAAUAUUAGCUGGUCUUAAUUGUGGGCAUUGGUUCUACUCAGCGUGAUAAUUAUAAUCUUGACCGCCGAGGAUAUCUUUCGGGAUAGCCAGCUCUCGUUUGGGCCGCUUCUAGUCUGGUUGAACGAAGUUCUGUGAAUCUCGUUUUACCCUUUCAGUUUUGACCUCGAAUCAGGUGGGACUACCCGCUGAACUUAAGCAUAUCAAUAAGCGGAGGAAAAGAAACUAACAAGGAUUCCCCUAGUAACGGCGAGUGAAGCGGGAAGAGCUCAAAUUUAAAAUCUGGUAGUCUUUGAUUGUCCGAAUUGUAAUCUAGAGAAGCGUUUUCCGCGCUGGACUGUGUACAAGUUUCCUGGAUACGGAACAUCAUAGAGGGUGAGAAUCCCGUCCUUGACACAGACUACCAAUGCUUUGUGAUGCGCUCUCGACGAGUCGAGUUGUUUGGGAUUGCAGCUCAAAAUGGGAGGUAAAUUCCUUCUAAAGCUAAAUAUUGGCGAGAGACCGAUAGCGAACAAGUACCGUGAGGGAAAGAUGAAAAGCACUUUGGAAAGAGAGUUAAACAGUACGUGAAAUUGUUAAAAGGGAAACGCUUGAAGUCAGUCACGUUUGCUUGGACUCAACCUUACUUCGGUUUGGUGCAUUUCCUUGCGGACGGGCCAGCGUCCAUGUUGUUUGCCGGAGAAGGGGUUGAAGGAAUGUGGCUCCUUCGGGAGUGUUAUAGCCUUCACUCGUAUACGGGGAACGAUAUGGAGUGAUACAGCAUGCUUC